UUGGGACAGAUUUAUGUAGGCCCUAACAGUUGCACCUUUUGCCACCGUUAUAGUGCAGUUAAUGUAUUGUUUAGUGUUGUGUUGUGUAGUGGCUUUGGCGGUAUGCAUCCCACUUUUUUUUUUGCCAAAAUUUGACCAAAUUGCAACUACAUGUGGACUCCAUUAACUUUACAAAAAUCAUGUGAUCAAUGGUCAUGUCAUUUUUAUUUAUGAAGUCGCUUCUCAACAACUGCACCAUGCAGUCACCUGCAUUGUGGGAGGCACUAUGUGCAAACCAAUAAUUUUGUGUUUGGUUUGACCCACGCGACGUUGCCAAAGACUUGAAAGAAACAGGAAAAAUCUUUAUUGCGAUUCUAAAGCUACAGGGAAUAGAAAAUAAAAUUAUAUUUGAGACUUAUCUCUAACCAAACGGUUAUAGACAAUAGUAGCUAUGUUGACACUACCAUGUUGAUCUGAGCCCUGCUGUUGGAAAACCACUGGUGUCCGACUGUUGGCUGUCGGAGAUGCACCUCCCUGACCUCACUCGCCGACUUUAGUCGACAGUCGACUUCGCCUUGCUUACUGCUCGAACACACUCAAAACCUUUGCCUUCGGCGCCCUGUGCAGUCAGUUUCUCCUUGUCACAAGAAGGGACGUACUAUUUUCACGCUCCUUCGAUAAAGCUACGACCGGAAGUGAUUAUCGUAGCAGGUUAUUAGACUAUUUUCGCCAACCCUAACCACAGAUAUAACAAUCUUAUUCAGAUUGGUGCCCUAACCGUUUUCCAAACAUUAACCAUAGUGUCAAUAACCUGCUACGUUUAUUCUAACAUAAUACGAAAAAGUUACUUCCGGUGUUUUUCGUCACAGGAAGCAGACUUCAGUUGAGGAAGUAUAAUGUAUCAGUACAUGUUUUGAUUUAGUAGUUUAGUGCAAUGUCUAAACUGUACACCGAGAAACUGACCCGGCUCUACGAGCGGUAUCGGGAGUACGUUACGAAGAACCCUGCAGCGACCGGACAACUGGAGAGCACCGUAAGAACGCUGUCGUACCUCAUUUCAGGGCGUUUCACUGACUCCCAUGAAAUCUCUGAAUUGGUGUACUCUGCCUCCAACCUGCUGGUGCUGCUUAAUGAUGGCAUUCUGCGCAAAGGGCUGUGUCGAACCCUUCCCAUGUCUCUCUCUCAGCAAAGGCUUCUCACCUGGCUGUCAGUGGUGGAGUACAUGGAGGUGUUCCUGGAGAUGGGGGCCACCAAGCUGUGGGGGGAGGGAGGUCGCUGGCUGGUCAUAGUGCUCAUCCAGAUCACUAAAGCCGUCUUGCGCUUCCUACUGCUCUUCUGGUACAAAUCUGGCAUGCAGACUUCCCCUCCUAUUACCCCACUGGACAGGGAGGCACAGCUCGGCAACGAUGAGGACCAUGAUGACCACCAGGAUGACAGCUCCUUUGUAGGCCAGCGGUCAGGGAGGGUGAUGAGGCCAUUGGGCAAUGCUCCCUCUGUGCAGGCCCGUCUGUGGGCAGCCCCCAGUAGGGAGAAGAGGUGUGCUGUGGAGGAGGAUCUGACCUCUAGUCCCACUGCCCUGGGGGUCCAGGAGACCAUAGCAGAGUCCAUGUACAUCGGACGCCCGCUGGUACACUUGCUCUGCCUGGGAAUGUGUGGGAGAGGCUCCUGGAAGCCAUGGCUCGUGUCUGGAGCCAUGGAAAUGACCAGUUUUGGUUUGAUGAGUGACACUAAAUCUCUGAACCGGCGGGAGAGGGCGGAGGUGAGGAGGAGAGCCUUUCUGCUUCUGUACUACCUGCUCCGCUCCCCUUUCUACAACAGAUUCUCUGAGUGAGUAGAAUCAGAUCUACAACAGAUUCUCUGAGACAAAGAUCCUGUUCCUACUCCGAUUUCUGGCAGACAAUGUUCCCGGCGUCGGGCUGGUUGCUCGCCCUCUAAUGGAUUACCUACCUGUCUGGCAGAAGAUCUACUUCUAUAACUGGGGCUGAGGGCAAGAGGUGGUUGAAGGUCUCCUGGCCAGCUGGAUAGGGAUCGACACUAAAGAGGGAGACUCAGUAAACUACAGAGCCAGAGACACACAGGGACUCAAGUCCCCCACAGACUCAUUGGAAACCUGUGCUGGUUACGCUGCUGUAUUUCAACUGGGGACCCUCAAAUCAGAUCCAACAUGCAGUUCUGUUGCUAGGGCAUGCCAGAGUACCUUACAGAUCCUUCCGUUCUGUUACUAGGGCAUGCCAGAGUACCUUACAGAUCCUUCCGUUCUGUUACUAGGGCAUGCCAGAGUACCUUACGGAUCCUUCCGUUCUGUUGCUAGGGCAUCCCAGAGUACCUUACGGAUCCUUCCGUUCUGUUGCUAGGGCAUCCCAGAGUACCUUACGGAUCCUUCCGUUCUGUUGCUAGGGCAUCCCAGAGUACCUUACGGAUCCUUCCGUUCUGUUGCUAGGGCAUGCCAGAGUACCUUACGGAUCCUUGCCUUUUGCAUUCCCACCUUGUUCUUUUUUAUAAUUUGAGUGAUUUCCGUCAUAUCUUCCAUCAGACUGAUCUUGAACCAGUGAUUAUGAUGAAUUGAUGCUGAUUGUGUGAUUUAGUUUUCUCCUUUUGUAAACUAUACAUUACCCAGCAGUGUUAUUGAACCGAGUGGUAGGAGAUAUCUUUGGCUCCGCUGGGUAUGAUCACCAUCUUGUCAGUCAGUUUUGCUGUCUGUCACUGGGAACAAUCCCUCCUAAAUGUCUCCAGUUAAACAACCCACUACAGCUAGCCCUGAUGGGUUCUGUGCAGUUGGUCCUACAGCAUUACAGCGAAUGACUUUGAGGCUGGUUGAAGUUCUCUCUAUGGGGCUGUUCCAAUAUCUCCUUUCUCCCAAAGUGUGCCCUUGUUCACUCCUUCCACAAAUCUAGAUUGGCAUUUGGCAUGGGCUCGUGGGAGUUUCCACCAUAUUUCGUAUACUAGUCACUUCCUUUCGACUCGUUAAUUGGAGGAAGGAGAGAAUUGGGCCCUUCUGUUUGUCAAUUUGUUUUUCUUCCCACUGUGCCAAUGUAUGUGACCAAGAUAUGAAAUCUAACAUUUGUAUAUUAAAUAUGCUGUAUUCUAAAUAAUUGAUAUUAACUACCUAAUUUAUGUACUUUUUAAAAAACUAGGCAAGCCAGUUAAGAACAAAUUCUUAUUUACAAUGACGGCCUAGGAACAGUGGGUUAACUGCCUUGUUCAGGGGCAGAAUGACAUUUUUACCUUGUCAGCUCGGGGAUUUGAUCUAGCAACCUUUCUGGUUUCUGGUCCAACGCUCUAACCACUAGACGACCUGCCGUCCCAUCUAAUUGUUACUUAAUUGGGGUUGAGAAUUAAGAAUCGAUUUUUGUAGUUUAUCCAGGGUACUUGAGAACAACCAUCUGGAAAUACAUUGAAACCAGGUAGUUUUCCCUGUGUGAAAUAAAUAGUUGAAGAUGAUUGGGGAAAGUGGAAUAUUGUGGCUCUGAGUGCCUUUCAAAAGUUCACUUACCAGAGGAAAAAGGAAAGGUCUAAUGUACUUAUUUGAAAUUGUGCGAAUGUUUUUUUAAAUUUAUGAAUCCUACAAAUGUGUUCAAUAAAUCGGCAGAAUAAUAAUCUGGUACCACCCAGUCAUUGUGUUUAUCUUAGGUAGGUUUUCACAACUACCAUUCAUUUGCUGUUAUGUAAUGUGCUACUACGGCUGUGUUUACACACACAGUACAAAUCUGAUUUGUUUUUGACCAAUGAGAUCAGCUCUGCAAAAGAUCUGAUGUGAUUUGAAAAAAAAAGAUAAGAAUUGGGCAGCAUUUGUAAACACAGCCCAUGAACUUAAGUCAGCAACCACAGUGAUGGAUUUCAAUCUUUAUUGACACAAAUCUAACUUUUUUUGUAGCCUACAAUAAAUAUCUUGUUUUGAUGGGUCAUUGGGAUAGCCAUUCUUCAUCACUAGUGGGACAUCCAGGGAGACAGACCAGGCCACAUGAGGGCACACACUCAAACCCAUCCCCAUGGUGACAGCCAUGGGUGAACACGCUCAAACCCAUCCCCAUGGUGACAGCCAUGUGUGAACACACUCAAACCCAUCCCCAUGGUGACAGCCAUGUGUGAACACACUCAAACCCAUCCCCAUGGUGACAGCCAUGUGUGAACACACUCAAACCCAUCCCCAUGGUGACAGUCAUGGGUGAACACACUCAAACCCAUCCCCAUGGUGACAGCCAUGGGUGAACACACUCAAACCCAUCCCCAUGGUGACAGCCAUGAGUGAACACACUCAAACCAAUCCCCAUGGUGACAGCCAUGAGUGAACACACUCAAACCCAUCCCCAUGGUGACAGCCAUGGGUGAACACACUCAAACCAAUCCCCAUGUUGACAGCCAUGGGUGAACACACUCAAACCCAUCCCCAUGUUGACAGCCAUGGGUGAACACACUCAAACCCAUCCCCAUGGUGACAGCCAUGGGUGAACACACUCAAACCCAUCCCCAUGUUGACAGCCAUGGGUGAACACACUCAAACCCAUCCCCAUGUUGACAGCCAUGGGUGAACACACUCAAACCCAUCCCCAUGUUGACAGCCAUGGGUGAACACACUCAAACCCAUCCCCAUGUUGACAGCCAUGGGUGAACACACUCAAACCCAUCCCCAUGUUGACAGCCAUGGGUGAACACACUCAAACCCAUCCCCAUGGUGACAGCCAUGGGUGAACACACUCAAACCCAUCCCCAUGGUGACAGCCAUGGGUGAACACACUCAAACCCAUCCCCAUGUUGACAGCCAUGGGUGAACACACUCAAACCCAUCCCCAUGUUGACAGCCAUGGGUGAACACACUCAAACCCAUCCCCAUGGUGACAGCCAUGGGUGAACACACUCAAACCCAUCCCCAUGGUGACAGUCAUGGGUGAACACACUCAAACCCAAACUCAGUCCUGCCCUUGCACUACACAGCUGAU